rfam:Takifugu rubripes chromosome, Chr_9
CUGGGAUACGGAGACAUGUGCCCUCAGACCACCUCUGGGAUGCUCGUUGGGGCCCUGUGCGCCCUUGCGGGUGUCCUCACUAUCGCCAUGCCCGUCCCCGUCAUCGUGAACAAC